CCUACGGGUGGCAGCAGUGAGGAAUAUUGGUCAAUGGACGAGAGUCUGAACCAGCCAAGUAGCGUGAAGGAUGACUGCCCUAUGGGUUGUAAACUUCUUUUAUAUGGGAAUCAAAUGUUCCACGUGUGGGAUUUUGUAUGUACCAUAUGAAUAAGGAUCGGCUAACUCCGUGCCAGCAGCCGCGGUAAUACGGAGGAUACGAGCGUUAACCGGAUUUAUUUGGUUUAACGGGAGCUUAGGUGGAUUGUUAAAUCAGUUGUGAAAGUUUGCGGCUUAACCGUAAAAUUGCAGUUUAAACUGGCAGUCUUUAGUACAGUAUAGGUUGGCGGGAUUCGUGGUG
rnacentral:rRNA from 1 species